rnacentral:rRNA from 1 species
UACGGAGGAUCCAAGCGUUAUCCGGCAUCAUUGGGUUUACAGGGUCCGUAGGCGGUCUAGCAAGUCAGUGGUGAAAUCUCCCCGCUCAACGGGGAAACGGCCAUUGAUACUACUAGAAUUGAAUUAUUAGGAAGUAACUAGAAUAUGUAGUGUAGCGGUGAAAUGCUUAGAUAUUACAUGGAAUACCAAUUGCGAAGGCAGGGUACUACUAAUGGAUUGACGCUGAUGGACGUAAGCGUGGGGAGCGAACAGG